UAUAUAAAAUCAUGAUUUCGUCUCCUUAAAACUUGGCUACUGUUGACUUUGAGAACUAAUGUCCUGCUGUGGAGUCCCUAACAUUUAUUUGCAUGUUGAUGAAUGCUAACAAUUAAGAAGGCUUCGAGCAAAUUGGCUUCGACAACAAAUCUUGAUGAUGUACCACAUUCUUUUUCCACUCUGUGGUGAGUACUACUGCAUUAGACCUUAUGCACUUGCGGCUCAAUCGAUUGCCCUGCCUUGCCUUUAUGAUAACCAAGAAGAUUUCAUAGGAAUGGACUUCAUGGUGGAGAUUUCGUAGGAAUUUUGCAAGUGUUGCAGUGGAUUUGACGAUGGAGAUUGCUAUGAUCGUGUAGGUUUUUCAAUGGAGUUGAAUCAGGGUUUUUUCCUAUAGCUUUUGCCGUUGUUGAUGCUAAGAAUAAAGACAAUUGGUGUUGGUUCCUUGAAUAUUUAUGUCAAGUAUUGGGAUCGGAGAGGGUGAUAAGUUUCAUAUCAGAUCGACAUUAUGGUAUUGUGGAAAGAAUUGCUAGGUUUUUUUCCUAAUUACUAUCAUAGAUUUUGUCUUGAACAUCUAAAGAGAAAUUUGAGGGAUAGGUUAUCAUAUGGAAACACAAAUUUGGUUAGGGAGACGAUUAUGUCCAAGUUUUCAGAAUGUGCAUAUGUGCCAACAAAGAAAUCAUUCCAUUUCAAGUUAAAUGAAUUAAAAAGUGAUGGAGGAGACAUUGUGAAUGUUUUCUUGAGAAGUUUAUCGUAUGAAAAUUAGAGAUGCAUAUUUUGAGGGGAAAUGUUAUGGUGAGAUGUAUUCAAAUAUUGCUGAGUCAUCCAAUUCAUGGAUACGAGAUGCUUGGCACUUGCCAAUAACAAAUUUGGUGGACAUGAUACGGUUGUAAAUUAUGAAUAUGAGGUCUGAUAAGAGGCUGCUCUCUAGUAAAU